AACGAACGCUGGCGGCAUGCCUAACACAUGCAAGUCGAACGAAGCCUUCGGGCUUAGUGGCGCACGGGUGCGUAACGCGUGGGAAUCUGCCCUUGGGUUCGGAAUAACAGUUAGAAAUGACUGCUAAUACCGGAUGAUGUCUUCGGACCAAAGAUUUAUCGCCCAAGGAUGAGCCCGCGUAGGAUUAGGUAGUUGGUGGGGUAAUGGCCCACCAAGCCGACGAUCCUUAGCUGGUCCGAGAGGAUGAUCAGCCACACGGGGACUGAGACACGGCCCAGACUCCUACGGGAGGCAGCAGUGGGGAAUAUUGGACAAUGGGCGAAAGCCUGAUCCAGCAAUGCCGCGUGAGUGAUGAAGGCCUUAGGGUUGUAAAGCUCUUUUACCCGGGAUGAUAAUGACAGUACCGGGAGAAUAAGCUCCGGCUAACUCCGUGCCAGCCGCCGCAGUAAUAC
rnacentral:rRNA from 1 species